UACAGAGGUCUCAAGCGUUGUUCGGAAUCACUGGGCGUAAAGGGUGCGUAGGCCGCACGGUAAGUCAGAGGUGAAAUCCCGGAGCUCAACUUCGGAAUUGCCUCCGAUACUGCCGUGCUUGAGGACUGGAGAGGAGUCUGGAAUUCCCGGUGUAGCGGUGAAAUGCGCAGAUAUCGGGAAGAACACCCGUGGCGAAGGCGGUUCUCUGGGACGGUACUGACGCUGAGACGCGAAAGCGUGGGGAGCGAUCCGG
rnacentral:rRNA from 1 species